AGAGAGGUGGCCGAGUGGUCGAAGGCGCACGCCUGGAAAGUGUGUAUACGGCAACGUAUCGAGGGUUCGAAUCCCUUCCUCUCUG
rfam:Lutibacter flavus strain DSM 27993 genome assembly, contig: Ga0070584_15